GAUCUAAUCGUUGGCCUGCGGGGGAUACUGCCCAGCUAGGAGACGGGAGAGGCCGACGGUAUCUCGGGGUAGGGGUGAAAUCCUAUAAUCCCGGGAAGACCACCAGUGGCGAAGGCUGUCGGCUAGAACGCGCUCGACGGUGAGGGAUGAAAGCUGGGGGAGCGAACCGGAUUAGAUACCCGGGUAGUCCCAGCUGUAAACGAUACAGGCUAGGUGUUAGGGCGGCUACGCGCCGCUCUAGUGCCGCAGGGAAGCUGUUUAGCCUGUCGCCUGGGGAGUACGGCUGCAAGGCUGAAACUUAAAGGAAUUGGCGGGGGAGCACCACAAGGGGUGAAGCUUGCGGUUUAAUUGGAGUCAACGCCGGAAAUCUCACCGGGGGCGACAGCAGGAUGAAAGCCAGAUUAAAGGUCUUGCCAGACGAGCUGAGAGGAGGUGCAUGGCCGUCGCCAGUUCGUGCCGUGAGGUGUCCUGUUAAGUCAGGCAACGAUCGAGACCCGCAUCCCCCCGUUGCUAUUGGCCUUGAGUCAAGCACACUGGGGAGACUGCCGCCGAUAAGGUGGAGGAAGGAGCGGGGCACGGCAGGUCAGUAUGCC
rnacentral:rRNA from 1 species